rnacentral:rRNA from 1 species
UACGGGGGGGGGCAAGCGUUGUUCGGAAUUACUGGGCGUAAAGCGCACGUAGGCGGAUUUGUAAGUCAGGGGUGAAAUCCCGGGGCUCAACCUCGGAACUGCCUUUGAUACUGCAAAUCUCGAGUCCGGAAGAGGUGAGUGGAAUUCCUAGUGUAGAGGUGAAAUUCGUAGAUAUUAGGAAGAACACCAGUGGCGAAGGCGGCUCACUGGUCCGGUACUGACGCUGAGGUGCGAAAAGCGUGGGGAGCAACAGG